AAAUGCUGGGGGUGAGAGGAAGAGGAGGAAAAAUACAACAGCUAAAAAAAACAAGAAAACAGAAACAAGCUGAAGAGGAAGGAGAAACUGCGCACCACCCCUCCUACUACCACCUCCUCGAUCUUCAAGCCAGCUUCGACCCCCCCCCCCACACACACACACACUCCUCCCAGCACCCCCUUCUGCACCCCCCCCGCUCCCCGUGACAAGCAGGCUGCUACUCUGAAGAAAUUGACGGAUUAUUGGUAAGUGCGCGGGAGGCAGGCUGCAGCUGGCUGCUGCGUGCGUGUGUGCUUCACAGGGAUGGCAUGUGCGUGUUCGCGAAUUGCUGCGGUUGCCGCCGCAGCAGCUGCCAAAGCUGGAGCACGCGACGAGUUAAGAGGAGGAAGGCGCUAAUGAAGGUGUUGUGCAUCGCCUAGACUUUGAGCCCUCACGAGCACUCUGGAAAGGAAGAAGACGGAGGGGAAAAAGAAAAACCAAGUGGACGACGCCACACUAACAAGUGGGAGCAAGAGCAGCAGGGAGGAAAGGGCGAAAAGGCUUUUCAGACUGACCAACUGACCAACGGCUAUAAAGUGAUCAAAGGAAUACACAGAGGAGGAGGGGGAGCUUCUCUUUUUGCCACCCCACUGGCUUGUCAACCUUUCCAUCAUAAUUACAGCAAAGAAAAGGCAAAGAGAACACUGGAAAGGACUGUGGAAUUUUCAUUCAACCUUCACUACCACCCCCCUCCCACCUCCGCUCUUUUUUUGUCCUUUCUGCCUUUGGUUUUGGCAAACACAAAUUACAGUGCGCGCUUUGUGCGGUUGUCUGUGUCAUGGAGACUUGGGUAAGGUAUCUAGAGGAAGAAUCAACUGUCGGGUUCCAAGGACAUGCACCAGAAGAGUAGCAGAUAGCGAGAGGCAAGUGCGGAAGCACUGCUGCUUUGGGAGCCUGACUGGAUUCAUAUUUACAAUCUUUUGCCCCCCCCCCCCCAUUUUAUAAUCAACAAGGAAAGGGAGGGGGCGGAAAAAACACUCACAAAGGGCCUUCUACCUUUCUGUUUGGAUGUAUGGAUUUACAAAA